AAUUGCCACAUGGAAAAUUUUCUAAAAGCAAUAAAAAAAAUCCGUUUAAAGAAAAUAUUAAAUGCAAAAAAAUAAAAAAAAUAAAACUGUUUCGUUUCUUAAACUAUUUCUGUUUGUUUUUAAUAUAAAAUAAAAAUCUACAUCAAAUAAAAUCCCUUUUAUUUCUCACACUACACCAUCACGAUCUUUGGAACGGUUAAUCUUUCUGAGAUUUUACUCACUAUGGAAUAAAUUCAAAUUUAUCUUUACGUACAUUCAUUGCAGUU
rnacentral:lncRNA from 1 species